rnacentral:rRNA from 1 species
UACAGAGGGGGCAAGCGUUGUUCGGAAUUACUGGGCGUAAAGGGCGCGUAGGCGGCCGCCUAAGUCAGACGUGAAAUCCCUCGGCUCAACCGGGGAACUGCGUCUGAUACUGGGUGGCUUGAAUCCGGGAGAGGGAUGCGGAAUUCCAGGUGUAGCGGUGAAAUGCGUAGAUAUCGGGAGGAACACCAGUGGCGAAGGCGGCUACCUGGCCCACUCUUGACGCUGAGGCGCGAAAGCUAGGGGAGCAAACGGG